CGGUAAUACGGAGGGUGCGAGCGUUAAUCGGAAUUACUGGGCGUAAAAGCGCAUGCAGGCGGCCUGUUAAGUCAGAUGUGAAAGCCCGGGGCUUAACCUCGGAAUUGCAUUUGAAACUGGCAGGCUAGAGUCUUGUAGAGGGGGUAGAAUUUCAGGUGUAGCGGUGAAAAUGCGUAGAGAUCUGAAGGAAUACCAGUGGCGAAGGCGGCCCCCCUGGACAAAGACUGACGCUCAGAUGCGAAAGCGUGGGGAGCAAACAGGAUUAGAUACCCCUGGUAG
rnacentral:rRNA from 1 species